rnacentral:misc_RNA from 1 species
AACGCUGUAUGCUGCUGCUGCUGUAUCCAAUCUUGUAUCUCUUCGGUUACUUGUUUUCCUUUCAUUUCUGUGCUCGUCGUGAUCUUGAUGACGAUGCCCUCAGAUGACGUGCGGACGCACCUCGAUGCUGGUGGUUUCUCAGGCAGCCGGGGCCCCCUCCAUCCUGUGAUGUAAGAGCUCCUUGUCGCUACUACUUCGCGGCGGUCGGGCCCCGAAUGGCGUUGCCUCGGAGCGACGCUCGACGGUGCGUACGUCUGCGUCAUCCACAAGAUUGGGCAGAGUGUCGGCAUGACUCGAGCACAGCCCACCCCCACCCCUCACACCGCCUGCUGGUGUGGGAAGCCUGAAUGCCACCCCCGAGAAGGGAUGCACCAGGUGGCAACCUCCAUGAUGAGAGCGGCUGUGAGGCGGCCUGCGAGGGGCGGGGUGGGUGGGUAGAGGUUGGGGUCAGAGGUCGUGCUCCGGCGCCUGAGUCGGCGCACUGCUGUAGCACGUGCCAUUCGCUGCUUCGCAUCACGCGACGGGGGGCCUGUGACAGGGCGGGAGGUAGAGUGGCGCUUGAACGGAUGCGCUAAGGCAACGAAUUGGUCGCGGUGGAGACGCAAUCGGUGGUUAGGUUUGAACGGUGUGUUCUUCGAAUGCUGCUCGCGUGGCGUUCGGCACACGGGCAACCGUACACGCAUGGAGAUGAGAGUGUGCACGUUCUUGGGCGGGUGGGUCCUUAGUGUACGGGGUUUUCUUCGAAUGCGAUGGCCAUGAGCGGCUGCUUUUUAAACAGAAGCCGGCGCUCACCACGUGUGGUCAUGCGGAGACGGCGUGGAACUGGGCGAAACCUAUUCACCGAGGCCGUUCCUCUGCCGCUGUGCGUCCCUUUCGUUCACCACUCCUUGAUUGCUUGUUUUAUGAAGCUGCGGUCGUCGAUGCGGGGCAGGGCGCCGCGAAAGCGAAACGGUUCUUUUUUUCAGCUUGCUUUCGAACACCUCUCUCGCUAUCUCUUGCUCGAUCUCUGUCACAGUGGCAACGCUGCGUACCUCAAGGACAAGUUUGUGUAUGGCAGCUCACCCCCACUCGCAAUCUCGUCUUAUCAACUCGAACGCGUUCACUGAUUAUAAUCAUGCCUUGCCUUUCACGCUCCUCUCACAGCAAUGCAACAUCUCACCACAAUACAG